ACCUCGGAUCAGGUAGGAAUACCCGCUGAACUUAAGCAUAUCAAUAAGCGGAGGAAAAGAAACCAACAGGGAUUGCCCUAGUAACGGCGAGUGAAGCGGCAACAGCUCAAAUUUGAAAUCUGGCCUUCGGGUCCGAGUUGUAAUUUGUAGAGGAUGCUUUUGGUGAGGUGCCUUCCGAGUUCCCUGGAACGGGACGCCAUAGAGGGUGAGAGCCCCGUCUGGUUGGACACCGAUCCUCUGUAAAGCUCCUUCGACGAGUCGAGUAGUUUGGGAAUGCUGCUCUAAAUGGGAGGUAUAUGUCUUCUAAAGCUAAAUAUUGGCCAGAGACCGAUAGCGCACAAGUAGAGUGAUCGAAAGAUGAAAAGCACUUUGAAAAGAGAGUUAAAAAGUACGUGAAAUUGUUGAAAGGGAAGCGCUCAUGACCAGACUUGGGCUUGGUUGAUCAUCCAGGGUUCUCCCUGGUGCACUCUUCCAGUUCAGGCCAGCAUCAGUUCGCUGUGGGGGAUAAAGGCUUUGGGAAUGUGGCUCCCUCGGGAGUGUUAUAGCCCAUUGUGUAAUACCCUGUGG
rnacentral:rRNA from 1 species